GAUGAACGCUGACAGAAUCCUUAACACAUGCAAGUCAUUGGCGAAGCUGCGCUUGCGCAGUCUAGCCAAGGCGGACGGGUGAGUAACGCGUAAGGAACUUGCCCUGCAGACAGGGAUAACAGACGGAAACGACUGAUAACACCUGGUAUUGUCAGGCUGGCGCAUGCCGGCCUGAUGAAAGGAGACGCUGCAGGAGAGCCUUGCGUCCUAUUAGCUAGUUGGUGGGGUAACGGCCCACCAAGGCGAUGAUAGGUAGCCGGCCUGAGAGGGUGAACGGCCACAAGGGGACUGAGAUACGGCCCUUACUCCUACGGGAGGCAGCAGUGGGGAAUAUUGGACAAUGGGGGCAACCCUGAUCCAGCAAUUCUGUGUGCACGAAGAAGGUUUUCGGAUUGUAAAGUGCUUUCAGCAGGGAAGAAGAAAGUGACGGUACCUGCAGAAGAAGCGACGGCUAAAUACGUG
rnacentral:rRNA from 1 species